rnacentral:rRNA from 1 species
UACAGGGGGUGCAAACGUUGCUCGGAAUCAUUGGGCGUAAAGCGCACGUAGGCGGUCUGUUAUGUCGGAUGUGAAAGCCCUUGGCUCAACUGAGGAAGUGCAUCCGAAACUGGCAGGCUAGAGUACUAAAGAGGGUCGCGGAAUUCCCGGUGUAGAGGUGAAAUGCGCAGAUAUCGGGAAGAACACCCGUGGCGAAGGCGGCUCUCUGGGACGGUACUGACGCUGAGACGCGAAAGCGUGGGGAGCGAACAGG